GAAAUGCGAUAAGUAAUGUGAAUUGCAGAAUUCAGUGAAUCAUCGAAUCUUUGAACGCACAUUGCGCCCGCCAGUAUUCUGGCGGGCAUGUCUGUUCGAGCGUCAUUUCAACCAUCAAGCCCCCGGGCUUGUGUUGGGGACCUGCGGCUGCCGCAGGCCCCGAAAACCAGUGGCGGGCUCGCUGUCACACCGGGCGUAGUAGAUUUUUCGUCUCGCCCAGGGCGUGCUGCGGGUUCCGGCCGUUAAAAAGCCUCUCUUUUUAACCCAAGGUUGACCUCGGAUCAGGUAGGAAGACCCGCUGAACUUAAGC
rnacentral:misc_RNA from 1 species